UACGAGGGGGGCAAGCGUUGUUCGGAAUUAUUGGGCGUAAAGGGCGCGUAGGCGGUUUGACAAGUCUUAUGUGAAAUCUCUGGGCUCAACCCAGAGUCUGCAUGGGAAACUGUCGGGCUUGAGUAUGGGAGAGGUGAGUGGAAUUUCCGGUGUAGCGGUGAAAUGCGUAGAUAUCGGAAGGAACACCUGUGGCGAAAGCGGCUCACUGGACCAUAACUGACGCUGAGGCGCGAAAGCGUGGGGAGCAAACAGG
rnacentral:rRNA from 1 species